GUAUAUUCUAAUUAUAUUUGCGCUAUGAGCGCGAAGCAAGAAGAUCAAAGAAUCGGUAAGGUAUAAAUCGCAAUUGGCAUUAUUACGUACAUAAGCUCUUUUCUAGAAACCUCGGAGAUGUGACGUCACGAAGUGGUGAUGACGCAACAGAAGAACCCACUUCAACCUGGUAUGUGACGUCACAGUGGAUAAAGCAGACCAUAGCGGGAACAUGGAUUGAAGAAAAGUCAGCGAUAAAGCUGCCAAAGAAAAGCGCAAGACAAAGACGCCAUUAAAGAAAACACGGUUUGAGGUUUGAGUAUUAUAAGUAUGAGUUGUGUGUUGUAUGUGUGUCUUGUCUGCGCUGCUGUAUUCUUAUUCUGCUGGACGUAAUGUUGCCAGCUAUUUUUAGUCAGUCACUGCUAUAGUGCAUUUUGCAUGUCUAUGAAAUAUAUGCAAUGAAACUAUGGCGAACAUCUUGCUGGAUCAGAUUUUGUUGUUGUACACUCUAUUGGGUACUUCGUCUACAAAGGUCGAACCCUUCAGCGAUUCUGUAUUGUCCUGAUUGCUUGGUGAGAACGGUAUGUUGGUACACAAAUACUCGAGUAAUAUUAACACGCAGUAAGUAUAUGCGCAUAAAUGUGAUAUUAAUCCGUUUAAUAUAAUGUAACGUAAACUUCCCCACGUGACUAACUUUAUAUUAAAACGUCAUGUAGCGUGAUUGGGACGAUGGCCACGUCACAAUUACGCUACGACGUCGAUAAGGUGGGUCAGAGCAUUGUCAUAACCCUGCGUUCGGUGCGGUUACGUCAGUUUUGAUUGAGUUAAGUCACGGUCAGGUUGUUGCGUAGACGUCGCCGCCAGUGAUGCUACGCUAGGUGUUUAGGUCAUUACCGGUACAGUGAUGCUACCGGCGCAGUGAUGCUACGCUCGAUAUUAGGUCACUGUCAAUGCGGUUCGUAACAACCUGGUGCAGUUUCGUAACGGUCGAUGCGGUGCGUAACAUCCGGUCGUUAUUAUAUUGUGUGAAGAUGCGACGAGAGUAUCGCGGUACCAACAUGGCGACUUACCUUUUGAUUGGGACAUGCGGAGCUGUUGUUGGCUUCGACUCCUUGUGGUCGGACAUUCAAUAUGGUGUACACUGCAGAUGAUUAUUCUUUAGGAUUUGAACCAUAUUUUAUUUGUAGAUGUUUCAAUGAUUAUGUCCGCGUUAAUUACUUUUUCAUCGCGUCCCCUUUUUGUAUGAUUGAGCUGUUGUGUUUGUUGCAUGUUUGGCACAUGUAUGUCGCUGCACUCGUUGUACUAUUUUUGUCUUUUUUUUGGUGUGUUCCUUACUAUUUUUGUCUGACGGUUAGUUUAACCUUGCUUGGGUAAGGUCUAUCCAGCAAAGGGUUUCUCACCAGAGUAGAAACCCACUACCAAUGGCUGGGGGCUUGUCGUGCCGUAGUGGCUUUCCACCAACGCCAGCCACAUAAAAUAUGAAGGUAUUUUAAUCCUGUUUCUAUUUUUCAGAAGCUUCUUCAACAAAAGUUAUCACGUUAAAAUAUUUUUUUUGUGUUCUUACUUUGUACUGUUGGAAAAUAAAAUAUUAACAUGACUUAG